CUAGCAUUUAUAUAGUGAUGUAGGGUUGGGGAAGCACCAGGUAGAAGUUAAGAGAGGGUCACACAAAUAUUGACUUCAUCUCCUGUACAAUCUAGCUGCCUCCAAUAUAAAUAGAUACAGACCAAAGAAAACUGAACCCAAAGUGUAACAAUGACAAUAAUGUUACUAAGGAUAAUACUAGAGGCAACAAAGUGGCACAGCAGAAACUAUGCUUGAUUUGGAGUCAAGAGCAGGCUUCCAAUCCCAGCCCAGCAACUCUCUUAACUCUUUACAAUUUCCGGGCAAUUUCUGUGUCCAUAGGGGUCAAGGGGUGACCCACGGUUGGUGAAGUCCCUGCCGACUUUAGACUUGGGAUGCUGUGGUUCUGAGUCACUUAACCCCAUCUUCUCUCUAAAUGAGGGGGCCUCUGAGUUCCCUUCUGCCCAUCUUUAUGAUCCUAAAAAUACGAUGGACAAUGCCGGCUCUCAAUGGCUGGAGGUCAAACCCACGUGUUUCUAUGCACAAAUAGCUAAGUACAAAAACAUCGCCGGAAAGGGGAUAGUUCCAUGCUAUCAGGUAUUGCUACAAUGAGAUUUAGGUGCUUUUAUUGAACCUUUUACCGGGGAUUACCAUGGGGGUGUGGAUGGGCCAGUAAUUGACCUGUCCAGAGCAUUAUAUCCAGGAAAACCUGCUUUACUUGUGUGAGCGGAUGGGUGAGAAUCCUCUGGCUGGACCCUAGUCCAGCUGCAUGCGUGCUCUUUGGAAGGUGGAAGCAGAGAGUUAAGAGAAGUCGGCUCAGAGAAGGGGGCGGGGCCUUAGGAGGGGCGGCCUUGGGGACAGUCCUUGCAGCGGCCCCGCCCCCUGCUCAGAGGCCUGUGCAGCCGCCGGGUGCCCGGCAGGGGGCGGCCGCUCCUCCCGGGCCCCUGGCCUCGCUGCUCGCCUCCCGCCCCUCCUCCCCGUCCUGCCGCUGCGGCCCCGCCUCCCGGCCCGGCCGGCCCCGCGCCCGUCACUCACCCUGCCUUGCACACUCACUCACACUCACUCUCGCCUCUCACGCUCGCCCUCGCCCUCCGCCCCCGCCCCCACCCCUGCCGACGCCGCCCCCCCAGCCCGGAGCCCGCGGACCCGCCGCUACCGCUCUCGAGCCUCGCCCGGGACCCGCCGCCGCCGCUGCCGCUACGCGAGGCCGGGGAUCGGGAGGGACCCACAGGCCGCGCCCCCGACCCCGGCCUGGCCUGGCCUGGCCCGGCCCAGGCUCCGACCCCGCCGCAGAGGAGGAGGAGAACUAGGAGGAGCCGGAAUAAAGGGCGGCGAGAGUAGAACGAAGGGGAGAGCGACCCCCCUCCCCGGACCCCUGGCGGGGAGCAGAACUGUUCAUCCUAAGAGCCUACCGCUCUGUGCUCACCCUGGCUGGCGGUCACACCACUGAUUGGGGAAUCUCUGCCAAUCAGCUACAGGCCAACCCCCAGUGAUUUCACAGCCAUUUGGUCAAUGACGUGGGAACUGGUUUAAUAAAGAGCUUCUUGCUGUGCCUCUAAGGUGCUAG
rnacentral:lncRNA from 1 species